rnacentral:rRNA from 1 species
UACGUAGGGGGCAAGCGUUGUCCGGAAUCAUUGGGCGUAAAGCGCGUGUAGGCGGCUCGGUAAGUCUGCUGUGAAAGUCCAGGGCUCAACCCUGGGAUGCCGGUGGAUACUGUCGAGCUCGAGUCCGGAAGAGGCGAGUGGAAUUCCUGGUGUAGCGGUGAAAUGCGCAGAUAUCGGGAGGAACACCGGUGGCGAAGGCGGUUCUCUGGGCCUGACCUGACGCUGAGGAGCGAAAGCGUGGGGAGCGAACAGG